rnacentral:rRNA from 1 species
GUGCCAGCAGCCGCGGUAAUACGUAGGUGGCAAGCGUUAUCCGGAAUUAUUGGGCGUAAAGCGCGCGUAGGCGGUUUUUUAAGUCUGAUGUGAAAGCCCACGGCUCAACCGUGGAGGGUCAUUGGAAACUGGAAAACUUGAGUGCAGAAGAGGAAAGUGGAAUUCCAUGUGUAGCGGUGAAAUGCGCAGAGAUAUGGAGGAACACCAGUGGCGAAGGCGACUUUCNUGGUCUGUAACUGACGCUGAUGUGCGAAAGCGUGGGGAUCAAACAG